UACGUAGGGGGCGAGCGUUGUCCGGAGUUACUGGGCGUAAAGGGCAUGCAGGCGGUCGGGCGCGUUUUGUGUGACAGCGGGUGGCUUAACUACCCGAGGAUGCGAAAGACGGUUCGACUUGAGUGCUCGAGAGGGACACGGAAUUCCGGGUGGAGUGGUGAAAUGCGUAGAGAUCCGGAGGAACACCGAAGGCGAAGGCAGUGUCCUGGCGAGUGACUGACGCUGAGGUGCGAAAGCUAGGGGAGCGAACGGG
rnacentral:rRNA from 1 species